rnacentral:rRNA from 1 species
AUUGAACGCUGGCGGCAGGCCUAACACAUGCAAGUCGAACGAGUGGCGGACGGGUGAGUAAUGUCUGGGAAACUGCCUGAUGGAGGGGGAUAACUACUGGAAACGGUAGCUAAUACCGCAUACCAUCGGAUGUGCCCAGAGGGGAUUAGCUUGUAGGUGGGGUAACGGCUCACCAAGGCGACGAUCCCUAGCUGGUCUGAGAGGAUGACCAGCCACACUGGAACUGAGACACGGUCCAGACUCCUACGGGAGGCAGCAGUGGGGAAGAUUGGACAAUGGGCGCAAGCCUGAUGCAGCCAUGCCGCGUGUAUGAAGAAGGCCUUCGGGUUGUAAAGUACUUUCGGCGGGGAGGCGGUACUCGCAGAAGAAGCACCGGCUAACUCCGUGCCAGCAGCCGCGGUAAUUC